rnacentral:rRNA from 1 species
AUACGUAGGGUGCGAGCGUUAAUCGGAAUUACUGGGCGUAAAGCGUGCGCAGGCGGCUUUGCAAGACAGAGGUGAAAUCCCCGGGCUCAACCUGGGAACUGCCUUUGUGACUGCAAGGCUAGAGUACGGCAGAGGGGGAUGGAAUUCCGCGUGUAGCAGUGAAAUGCGUAGAUAUGCGGAGGAACACCAAUGGCGAAGGCAAUCCCCUGGGCCUGUACUGACGCUCAUGCACGAAAGCGUGGGGCGCAAACAGGAUUAGAAACCCUAGUAGUCC